AAAUGAAGGGGUUAGACUAGAUUAUCAGCAAGCAAUUCUUUCAGCUCUAACUGUGGGAUCAUCUAGUCCAGCCCUCUCAUUUUAU
rnacentral:pre_miRNA from 1 species